UGCAGUGUGGCUCAGUGGAAAGAGCAUGGGCUUGGGAGUCAGAGGUCAUGGGUUCUAAUCCCAGCUCUGCCA
rnacentral:tRNA from 1 species